ACUUUCAUUGAAAAGUUAUCCAUAUGAAGCCUUCAUUUUGUCUUUUUUUUUUAUGGCUUGUUUUUUAUUUCAGUGUCCAAGUGUGAUGGAAGUUCUUCAAGACUGACCCUGAAAGGUACCUGGCUCCCUCACAGAAAAGAGGAUGGAAAAAUAAUCAGAUGUUUUCACCACAAAAUGGAGAAGUCAUCUUUAACUUUCCUCAAAAAAAUGUUAUCCUCAUAUGACAACAUGUCAACUCAUUUGAGCCUGCUGGAUACAAUAAGAUUUAUUGUUACCCUUGACCUCUGAGAGCUCCUAAAAAUUAUCCUGAGCAGUGUCACAUACGAACUAAACCCAGAAAUACAGGGUAAACCAGUUACACUGACACGAAUGAGCCAGGUGAUGAAUUCUGGUAAUCUCCUACCUCACAAGAGAACAGCACCAAUUGUACAUAUGAAGAUUUUUUUUCUGCAUCCUAUACUUGAGAGAAAGCAUAGAAAAAUUGAAACUAAAGGAAAAUUACGGAAGUCAGAGAUGCUAAAAAGGAACAGAUCAAGUAUCUCCCUUUUGGCCCAAACUUGAAAACUCUGAGGGAACAGAAAGUAAUAUACUGUCACUGCUAUGGAGACUGCUGGUCCUUAGAAGCAAUGAAGAGGCAUCCUCAAAGUUACAUUUAUGAGAGGUUAUCCUUGUAUGGAGCCUACAAACAAGUACCUGUACAAAUACGCCUGCCAGGAUUAAAGCUAAAGGUGAGCAAUAACUCUUUAUUUCAGCAAGAUCUUGGUUACAAAUUAACUUUGCUAUGCUCACUGUACAAGGGCUUACCCCACAUGUUUUUCAGGAAGUGGAUCCUGUUACUGUUCUGUGGAGACAGGCAAUGUCAUUCCUUCAGAUUUUUUAAUAUCAUUGCAGAGAUGUAUAACUCAGGGCAGGGAGAUGGAAGGCUGUGGAUAGAAGGUGAAUGA
rnacentral:lncRNA from 1 species